rnacentral:lncRNA from 1 species
UCAAGGAGUUUGAUUUCUAAAAGUUAAAUUGGUUAGCUAUUAAAAAAGCCAUGAACUAUUAAGAAACCCAUGAACUAAAAUCAUGGUUAUCAAUUCUAGGUUGAAGGUACAAGUCAGCCAACUCUUCUCUAUGCAUUCGUAACCUGAAUUCAGCAAUAAAGAUGCUGCAGAAUGGGUUAGCAUUAGAUUUCCUAAAUAGUUU